rnacentral:misc_RNA from 1 species
GAUGAAGAACGCAGCGAAAUGCGAUAAGUAAUGUGAAUUGCAGAAUUCAGUGAAUCAUCGAAUCUUUGAACGCACAUUGCGCCCGCCAGUAUUCUGGCGGGCAUGCCUGUUCGAGCGUCAUUACAACCCUCAGGCCCCCGGGCCUGGCGUUGGGGAUCGGCGGAAGCCCCCUGUGGGCACACGCCGUCCCUCAAAUACAGUGGCGGUCCCGCCGCAGCUUCCAUUGCGUAGUAGCUAACACCUCGCAACUGGAGAGCGGCGCGGCCAUGCCGUAAAACAACCAACUUCUGAAUGUUGACCUCGAAUCAGGUAGGAAUACCCGCUGAACUUAAGCAUAUCAAUAAGCGGAGGA